GACGAACGCUGGCGGCGUGCCUAAUACAUGCAAGUAGAACGCACAGUUUAUACCGUAGCUUGCUACACCAUAAACUGUGAGUUGCGAACGGGUGAGUAACGCGUAGGUAACCUGCCUGGUAGCGGGGGAUAACUAUUGGAAACGAUAGCUAAUACCGCAUAAUAUUGAUUAUUGCAUGAUAAUUGAUUGAAAGAUGCUAUUGCAUCACUGCCAGAUGGACCUGCGUUGUAUUAGCCAGUAGGUGAGGUAACGGCUCACCUAGGCGACGAUACAUAGCCGACCUGAGAGGGUGAUCGGCCACACUGGGACUGAGACACGGCCCAGACUCCUACGGGAGGCAGCAGUAGGGAAUCUUCGGCAAUGGACGAAAGUCUGACCGAGCAACGCCGCGUGAGUGAAGAAGGUUUUCGGAUCGUAAAGCUCUGUUGUAAGAGAAGAACGGGUGUGAGAGUGGAAAGUUCACACUGUGACGGUAUCUUACCAGAAAGGGACGGCUAACUACGUGCCAGCAGCCGCGGUAAUACGUAGGUCCCGAGCGUUGUCCGGAUUUAUUGGGCGUAAAGCGAGCGCAGGCGGUUAGAUAAGUCUGAAGUUAAAGGCUGUGGCUUAACCAUAGUACGCUUUGGAAACUGUUUAACUUGAGUGCAGAAGGGGAGAGUGGAAUUCCAUGUGUAGCGGUGAAAUGCGUAGAUAUAUGGAGGAACACCGGUGGCGAAAGCGGCCCUCUGGUCUGUAACUGACGCUGAGGCUCGAAAGCGUGGGGGAGCGAACAGGG
rnacentral:rRNA from 1 species